rnacentral:rRNA from 1 species
AUCAGCUAGUUGGCGGGGUAACGGCCCACCAAGGCAUCGACGGGUAGCUGGUCUGAGAGGACGAUCAGCCACACUGGGACUGAGACACGGCCCAGACUCCUACGGGAGGCAGCAGUGGGGAAUCUGCGCAAUGGGCGAAAGCCUGACGCAACGCCGCGUGCGGGAUGACGGCCUUCGGGUUGUAAACGGUAACACGUAGGGGGCGAGCGUUGUCCGGAUUUAUUGGGCGUAAAGAGCUCGUAGGCGGCUCGGUAAGUCGGGUGUGAAACCUCCAGGCUCAACCUGGAGACGCCACCUGAUACUGCUGUGGCUAGAGUCCGGUAGGGGAGCGUGGAACUCCUGGUGUAGCGGUGAAAUGCGCAGAUAUCAGGAAGAACACCAGCGGCGAAGGCGGCGCUCUGGGCCGGAACUGACGCUUAGGAGCGAAAGCGUGGGUAGCAAAGCGGAUUAGAUACCCUGGUAGUCCACGCCGUAAACGUUGGGCACUAGGUGUGGGUCUCAACCAACGAGAUCCGUGCCGCAGCUAACGCAUUAAGUGCCCCGCCUGGGGAGUACGGCCGCAAGGC